rnacentral:rRNA from 1 species
AUUGAACGCUGGCGGCAGGCCUAACACAUGCAAGUCGAGCGGAGCGGCGGACGGGUGAGUACUGCCUCGGAAUCUGCCUGGUAGUGGGGGAUAACGUCCGGAAACGGGCGCUAAUACCGCAUACUAUCAGAUGAGACUAGGUCGGAUUAGCUAGUUGGUGGGGUAAAGGCAUACCAAGGCGAAGAUCCGUAACUGGUCUGAGAGGAUGAUCAGUCACACUUGAACUGAGACACGGUCCAGACUCCUACGGGAGGCAGCAGUGGGGAAUAUAGGACAAUGGGCUGAGGCCUGAUCCAGCCAUGCCGCGUGUGGGAAGAAUGUCAUCGUAUUGUAAAGUACUUUCAGCGGGGAGGCUUUACCCGAAGAAUAAGCACCGGCUAACUCCGUGCCAGCAGCCGCGGUAAUUC